rnacentral:lncRNA from 1 species
UGGGAAGAUGCGAAGAAUGCGUGAUCAUCAAUUUUCGGGCAGUGGCAGUUGCUUGGGUUCUGCAAAUGCUUUUGCUUGAGAUCCUGACCGAGUUCUUGCGCAACUUGAGUUUUGAGGGACAACUGGGUGUCAUUUUGUAGUGGGUGCCAAGAAUCCUGGUACUAGAGAAGUGGUAGGACCUCACCUUCAUGUUUUAUGCACCGAUGUUUACUGAAGUGGUAGGACCUCACCUUCAUGUAUGAUGCAUUGAUGUUUACUAAAUAGGCUGGAUUUGUUAAACAUAGAAUUAAUAAGAUCAUAUUCUUACUCAAAAAGUUAACUUGUGUUAUGCCUUCUGAUUUACAAACUCACAAAACCAAAUCCAUUCCAUUUGAACUCCCCAACGAAUUGUAACCAUUACAUUCCAUCUAAUUAACCCAAGCAAAAUGGGAGCAGAACCAAUCCAUAAUUAAAAGUGCAUCGGCUGCAUUUUAGCCCAAACCUAAGAAUGGUUUAAAUGUAUUUUCAGGAUAACCUAUACAUGCGAGCUAACAAUUGUAUCAUCAAUUUUCGGGCGGUCACAGAUGCUUGGGUUUUGCAAAUGCUUUUUGCUCGAGACCCUGACGAGUUUUUCUUGCGCAACUUGAGUUUUGAGGGACAUAAAGGUAUCAUUUUGUAGUCGGUGCCAAUUUUCCUGGUACUAGAGAAGUGGUAGGACCUCACCUUCACGUAUGAUGCAUUGAUGUUUACUAAAUGGGCUGGAUUUUUUAAACAUAGAAUAGAUUUUUUUAAACCAUUCUUAUCGGAAAAGGUUAACUUGUGUUAUGCCUUUUGAUUUACAAACUCACAAAACCAAAUUCCCCAACCAAACACGGAAUUGCAACCAUCACAUCCCACCUAAUUAUCCCAAGCAAACAUAGGAACAAAACCAAUCCUGACAUUCCAUUCCACUUCGAUCCCAAACCAAACACGCCCUAAGAUAGUUCAAGUGCAUUGGCUGCAUUUUGGCACGAACCUAAGAGCACUUUAAAUGCAUUUUCAGGGACAAACCCAACAGCGCUUUAAAUGCAUUUUCAGGACCAACACGGCUGCCCCACACAUGUGAGCUAACAACUGUAACAAAGCAGAGAAAUCCCAUCUUCAAUAUCACAUAGAUCUUGGUACUUUGAAUAUACAAGUUUCUAUCAAAAUCCAAGUAAUUGUUCACACCAGUUAAUUACAAGAUUCUGAUGGUCUGAGGUCCAGAGUGCCUAUAUAUAUAUAUAUAUAUAUAUAUAUAUAUAUAUAUAUAUAUAUAUAUAUUUAUAUAUAGUUACAGGUUGCAUCUGACAUUGUGUAACUAAAUGAAUCAUGUAUGAACUACUCAAUUUCCUUAAACCUCCAUAUACACCCGUCCGGAUACUGUCUAUCUUAUAUUUUUUGCGGCAGAAACCGUUUUAACUUAGCUUGGUUAGUAGGCAUCUGUGGAUCAUUUGCACCCGGUACUUUGAGGAAACCUCAAUUAUUUGACCAACCAGGCCGUGGUCACUCGUAAAGAAUACACCGAUGACAGACGCCUCCCUCACCUGCUGCACCACUUGGAAAAAAUACGGCGUGGACUAAACCACCUUCUGUGAUUUCAGGCUACGGGAGAGCAUCAUUUUGUCGCUGCGCUAAUCUUGAAUACAAUCCAUCCUGCUUGACAAGGUCGCUGUGCUUUCCGUCCUGCACAACCAUACAGAACAACUUAGACCAUGUUUGUACACAACACUGCAAGUCUUGAAAGAAGUGUUCUCAUGCUAAUUUUAGUGUAGACUUCAUGUUAACACUUUGCAACAGCAGUUGAGAACAUACCUCCACAAUACUGCCAUUUUCCAUCACAAUGAUUCUGUCAGCCGCUUGAAUCGUAGACAGCCUAGAACAAAUAAUGGCGUUAGCUCGACUCUCCGUGUUCAAAAUAACAGGCACCGGAGUAAGCACACAUUACCUGUGAGCUAUGAUAAUCACAGUUCUUCGAGCCUUAGGAUCAGUGCUAACUUCUGUGAUGACACUCUAUAACAUGGCAGAGAGAAAGAUUAACAAUCUACUCAUAAGUACAUUUUAAUUGCACAGAAUUUGUUCAUGAAGAGUUUACCUUCACAUAAUGUUCACUCUCGGCAUCAAGUGCACUAGUGGCUUCGUCGAGUACUAAGAUGGCCGGGUCCCUCAGAAGGGCCCUUGCAAUAGCGACGCGUUGCUUUUGGCCUCCACUAAGAAGAGCAUCGUCGACAAUGGUGUUAUAACCAUCAGGAAGAGCCAUUAAGAAAUCGUGAGCAUAAGCCUGUUUUGCAGCCCACUCAACUUCUUCCUGGCUAACUUCUCUUGGGCAGCCAUACUUAAUAUUAGAACUAACAUCCAUCCGGAAUAGCUUAGGCUCCUGCAUAUAACAAGUAUAUAUGCUGUUAAAUACAACAAAGAUUCAUCUGGCACGACAACUUUGCUGGGUUUAUUGGAUCCGAACCUGUCCCACAAAACCAAUUCUUUCCCUGAACCAUCUGGUGUCAAGUUCGCUGAGUGGGACACCAUCUAUUAAUAUCUGCAUUAGUCACAAAUAUAACUUCAGAGUUCAGACCAAUAACUAGUCUGUUUCAAGUUCAACGUGUCAUAGCAGCAAUACUGGCUCCUGGAAGGGACAGAAACAAUAGCAAGGUCGAAAUAGCUUACUUGCCCAUUUGUAGGUUCAUAUAGUUGAAGUAGUAGGUUAACUAUAGUACUCUUGCCACUUCCACUAAGACCAACCUUUAAAAUUAGAAACCAUAUAUGAACAUUCAGAUACAGAUCAAUACUUGCGAAAAUUCAUAUAUAUGAAAGCAUCAGCCUGUAUAUCUUACAAUUGCAACUACUUCAUUUGGAUUGAGUGUUAGAUUCAGUCUUCUCAAAAUUGGUGCCUGCACAUUAAGGGCCACAUCAGAACCCAAAACCCGUACUUAGUUCAUAAUAAUCACAAAGCACUCAAGCUUUAGGAUGGACCCUACUAUGUGUGUGCUCAUAAAUCAUAACAGAAAAGCAUUUAGAAGGAAGGCGUUAACAUACUGAAGGUCUUGAAGGAUAUGAAAAUUCUACAUCUGCAUAUUGAAUUCGUCCUUCCAGCUUCUGUAACCUGAGGCCUGCAAGAAUGAAAUGCUUUAGACUACCGAACAGUUGCACAUCCUCCCAAUUAAAAUAUCCAAGCACAGAGACUCGAAACUAAUGUGUCAAGUCAAAAACAGUCUUGCCUUUAGAGGUAAGCUGCCUGCUAGGCAAGAGAUCCAUCAACCGGAAGACUUUUUCACUUGCUCCAACAGACUGCAUCAGGGAGGACCAAUUGUCUCCAAUCCACCAGGUAGACAAAAUCAGCCACUCGGCGUACAGUGUGAAUUUUGUCAGUUGCUCGGCAGUGAACUUCCCAUUCAUGAUUGCUAUUCCUCCAAUCAAAACAGCAACAACCUACACAAAGCUUAUUUGGAAGAAUACUUCAUCAGUAGCGCAAUGAGAAGCAUACACAAAAGCCUUAUAUUUUUAAUAUAGAUAUUAACAAAACUGAACAGCAACAUCAAAUACCUGAGUAGAAUGGUACAGAUAAUUCAAGCUCAAGCUCCAGCCUCCAUAAGCCAUCGUCUGUCGAAAGCUCACAUCAUACAGCUUAUCCAGCCACUUCGCAUACCUAUGAAAGUACAACAGGCUUUAUGACGUGCAUAGUGUUAUCUUUAUGCUAUAUAAGAGAGAAAAAUAGGUAGAGUGAUUGCCUUUUGAACUCUUGCUUUUCCGUCCCAUACACUCGCACUGUUCUAACCAAACUUAUCGCUUCUUGAGCAACCUGAUUUAUAACAUAAACAUUGGGUGAAUCGCUGAAAUGUUGAGCAACCUUCUCAAAUAGACUUCAAUUAAAGGACAUAAACUUACAUUAUUGGCACUUGCAGUGAACUCUUGUGCAAAUUUAGAGGCCUUUUUCUGAUACCUAUAAAACAAAGGUGUCAUGAUGAUUUCUUUCACAUGGCCAAAGAUGCAAAGCAACAAAAUGUGGAAACAUGGGAGAGGUAUUUUGUCGCAUUUACUCAAGAUUGCUGCGCACUAGCAACAUAAUAGGGAAAGGAGCAAGUAGAGAAAAGGGAGAAAUAAACUACACAAGAAGUGAAAACAAGUUGUUACCGUCCAUGAACUAGCAUAAUUGUCGACAAUGUCCCACAAGUAAGCAUAGUGCACAGUCCAAGAGGCCAUGAUAAGAUUAGAAGAUAAAUCAGUGCUCCUAUACCCUGAGACAAAGUAACAACAUGAAAAAUGAGCUUUUCAAGCUACUGGUGAGUAUUGUAUGCUCAGAUACUAAACAACCUUUUCACCUGAAGCAAAUUGCGUGAAAUCAAAUUAAGAUCAUUGCCAAUAACUCUAGACACUUGCUGGCAGUCAGAACCAAGCCUACUUGUCAAAUCUCCGACAGUUUCUUCAUCGAAAAACGCAAUAUCCUGGCACAAUAUACAAUGGAGUUAAGAAAAUUUGCAGCAAUUCAAAGUAAAGGUAUUAUUUGCACUAGUACUUCAGGCAACAAUAUUUUCCCCUUCUGUUUUUACCUGAGAAAGGAUGGAAUCAAACAGCAUUUCUCUCAUUCGUUUAACCUAAGAAAAAUAGUUGAGAUAAUGAUUGUAAGAGCCUGAUCAAAACCAAAGGGCAACCUGGAAGGAAUAGACUUGUUAAAUUACAUAAAAUCUAACAUGGUUUUACCAAUAUCAUGUUGGCAAUACCAAAACAGCAGCUUCGCACACCACUGCAAAAGGGGGACACGAGCUAAAUAAGCAACCCAAAUAUAACUCGCAAAAGCAUGCUUAAGGCAAACAAUUUUAGUUCUGUGCAGAUUGUCUCACAAAACUCCUUGUUUUGAUGUUUGCAAACUUGUUUGUGCACGUGCAAUUGUCCAUGAUGUACAUUGCAGAAAUUAAGUUUUUUGUUUCACAGCGAUCGUACUGAUUCUGUCACAGCAUUCACAAUGUACAAUGUUGAAAUUUAAGUUUGCGUUUUACAGUGAUCCUACUUAUACUAUCCUUCACCCAACUGGAAACAUCUCAGUCCAAAACAUUUCCCUAAUCCUAGAUUGUCCAUUACCAGCACAUUUAAUUUAUUUAUUUUUGAAUCCUCAUGUAAUGUAAAGUGCCGGUAAACGCCUAAGUGGUCUGCUUCACUCGAAAUGCGAUGAAAACAGAUAGUUGCGCAGCCAUAGUUUGUAGUGUGACCCUAUACACGAUAUGAGCACAGUUUGAAGGAAGAGAUAGCUGACCUAAACACUCCGGAAAUCAUACACAGAACAACCAGAAGCUUGGCGUUCCGGUAGAAGACGGCCCCUCCAUUCUGCGCGGAGAAGAUGGAGGCCGCGAGCAGAUGGGGGAUAGCGAUCUCCGCGAGCUGCAACCACGACCACACAGCAGUCAGUACCACACCAACCAACGAAAGCUUAUCCGAACCACGCGGCCGAGGCAAUCCGCAUUACCGCGGCGCAGACGAGCGACGCGAAGCCGGCGAAGAUGACCCAUCGGUCGUUGGAUACGAGGGCCCACAUCCGGCUGAGCGCGGAGGCGGCCGUGGCCCCGCUGGCCUCGGCGCGGCCGGCCCCGCCCGCGUCCUCGUCCUCGAGGCGCCACCAGCUGCCCCCCGGCAGCACGUUCCGCAGCCGCCCGAUGAACUCGCCGGCGUCGAGGCGGCGCCUGCCGAGCCCGCCGAACUCGCCGUUGACGGUCGCCGCCGCGCGGAUCCUCGCGGCACGCAGCCGGAGCCGCAGCCUGGGCGGCGGGGCCCGCAGGCACGGCCGCCAGGGCGCCAGGCCCAGCGACAGCCCCGCGGGCGCCGCGAGGAGCAGCGCGGCCGGGGCCGGCGGCAUUUCUCCCUCCUCCCUCCCCCUUCGCGCGCGCGCACGCGAUCCGAUUCGGAGCGCGAUUCAGGCGGGGCAGGGGGCUAUUUUGCGCUGCGUUUCCUCUCCUUGCUUUGUCGUGGCCCUUCGUAAACCUUUUUUUUGUUCGCCUCGUGUGCGUGCGUUCGCGGCGAGAUGAUCCAUGCGUGGGCCGGCGGUGGUGUGGCCGUGGAAUUUCCGACCCGUUUUCCAGGCUCCCUGGAUCGGAAUUUUCUGGUCGAGAAUAAUCGAGUUUGGAUUGGGCUCUCGCGCGUCACGCGGCCAUGCGAACGGGAGAGAGAGAGCGGCGAAGCAAAGCAAAGCAGCUGUUGACUUGUUUCUCCUCCGGCUGCUGGUGUGGCGGCCGUGAACCACGUGGAGUUUCGGCUGCUCUCUUCCCGACCCGCCCCGCACAGGUUCUGAGAAGCUCGUGCGCUUUUGCAGAAUCGCACGUAGUACUACGUGCCUGCACGGCUGCACCUGCACUAUAGAACGAUCGACCUAAAGGGGCGACCUGCACUAUAGAACCGGAAUUGGAACUAUCCCACCCGUGACCCGUGCGAAACGUAUGGGCCUCUUCAUUCUUGGAUGGAUGAGCGCAGUGAGGUGCGAGAGGUACGUACGUCUGGUCUGGGUUAGGUUUGGCGAUAAGCACGAGCGACUGGACACGCCGCAGUUUUUUCGACAGAGCAUAGCAAUCUGCAUUUUACACUACCAAUUUAGCUCCUUGCAGAGUUUCUGUUACUAGGCCAAAUCAAGACUACAUCCCAGCCCGCUGCUGGGUUCUGUUACUGCAAAGCGUAGCUCUGGCUUGCCUUUUGCGCGCCGCUAGUGGUCUUUUUCUUCUGCUCCGUGUUCUUUUUAUGGCGUUCACUGCUUGCAUGGUUUUCUUUGUUUUUCUUUUCAUUUUGGGGUUCUUCUUUGUCCUCUUUCUCUCUUACUUUGGUUUUCACUGGUUUUCUUCAGUUUCUUUUUCUACUUUUAUUUUGAACCAUUCUCUAGUUUUUUUCAUAUGGAUUGUAUAUUCUUCGUGUGCACCAGGAACAUUUCUUAUGCACGUUUAACAGUUAUUAAAUACAUGAUAUUUUUUUCAAAUAUAUGUUUUGAUGUCUAGCGCUUUUCAUACACAUUGUGCAUUUUGGUAUACAUCAUAAACAUUCUAGACUUGUUUUUUUUUAACAUUUUAUCAAAUAUAUGUAACAUUUUUCAAAUACACAUUGAAAUAAAAAAGGUACAAAACUUAUCUUUUCAUAAUACAAAACAUUUUUUGAAAACUAUGUCAACAUUCUUUUACAAUGUAUCAAUAUUUUUAUAAAUGCCAUAAACAUAUUCUUGAAAUGGAUGAACAUUUAAAAAUGUAUUUUUUAAAACUCAUAUAACAAUUUUUUUAAAUGUACAAUGUAUAUUUUUUGCAAAUGUCCCAUAUUUUUUUUGGAACUCAUGAACAUUUUUUUAAUGUCAUGAACUUUCUAUUUUGAAUAGUAUCAAUAUUUUUAAAUUUCUUUAACAAAAAGAUUACAUUGCGUCAAGAUUUUUAAAAGCCACAUGAUUCAUUUUAAAAAAUGUAAUUAAAUUAAUUUUUAAUAUAUUUUUUAUAAUAUUUCAAAAAUAUAAGCAGAAAGAAAGAAGAAAAUGUGCUCCUGCGUGAUUUGGGACGGCCCAUUAGGACGACCUUGAGGUGAGCGCGAGUGCGAGGCACACGAGACACAUGCGCUCCUGAAGAUAUAGAUGCUUCCUUAAAAAGAAGAGUUGUACUUCUAAUUUUUGUUAAUAAAUACUAGAAAAAAGCCCAUAUGUUGCAACGGCAAGAAAAUAAUUCCACACUUUCUAAGCCAAUAAAUAUGACUCAAGACGCCAAUAGUUCCGUCCUAAAAAACAUGACCUUUAUUUGAACACAUGGCAUCUCAUCCGUGUUGCCACUUAUCCUUCUUUCCACCCUCGUCGACAGUGCUCAGUGCUCAUACAAUCACAAUGUGUUUAAAUGUUGUCAAUCUAAAGAUGUCUCUCUCUCUCUCUCUCUCCCUCUCUCUCUCCCUAAUAUGAGAAAUCUGCUUUUUUCUGUGAGAUUUUGGCGAGGUUUGCAUGUAUGGUUAUAGAUGGUUUCUUUGGUCUCCAAUACUAGUUUUACCGAGGUGUUCAUUUACAAUCUGGAUAGGCGCGGUAUGAAAGGAAGGCAGAUCAUGCGCUAGUGAUUAAGGUUACACCCCAAAUAACAUUUUUUAAAUGGUUAACAAGUAAACUAAUAUCAUAUUGAGCGCUCCCCUGCUUCUGCGCCUAGCGCCGCCCGCCACUCCGGCGCCGGCGGCCACCUCCUGCGCCGCUCUCCACUCCAGAGGUGGCGGCCACCCUCCUUGGCGCCAUGGCCUCUAGGGUCUCCAUCUCUGGCUCGAGUUCGUCGGAGUCCAAUGCCCCCUCGCCCUCUCCGUCCCAUGGGGUGCCAUCUGUAAGUGCAUCUAGUGCCACCCCUAGUUGAUUUUGGAGUAUUGACGACAAACCUAGUUGAGGGACUAAUGUGUUUGUGAGAAUUGCAGGAUAAUACAGGUAGAAGUCCCUCAUUGAUUCGGUUUUACCACCAGAUAUGACCCCUAAAAAUGUAUGAAGACAUUGAAGACAAAGGUGGUACAUGAAGAUAUUCACUUUGAAGACUAUGACAAAACAAGACACGUUAUGAAGCAUAUGGAGCUCGAAGACUUAGAUCUUUCGUAGUUCCUUUUCUUUUGUGUUGAGUCAUAGGAACCACCGUACUGUUAAGUGGGGUCCAGGAUACCCAGUUAGAAUGACUGAAGUGAUGCCCAAACUAAAAACCUAUGUCUUCGAGUGAAGACAAUGAGAGCGAAUCUUGUCCAGAGCCGGACAAGUCAGCUUUGCUUGUAGCCCAAGUAAAGUUGCCAUGAGAGUUUAAAAUCUGACUGUUGAUACACGUGUCAGUUCCUUAGUGACCCAGGGUCAUUUCGGACAAAUCAGGUCGGGUUGCCAAGUGGCUAUAAAUAGCCCACCCCCACAACCAUAAACGGUUGGCUGCUCAGAUUUCAGUGCACGGCUUUUGUCGUUUGAGAGCAACCCACCUCGAAGCCUUUGAGAGAAAAUUCCUAGUGAGGAGAAAAGCCCUAACCACCCAGAGCCAGAGCAAAUUGGGCAUCACUUAGGUCUUCUUGUCUGUGUGAUCUGAAGACUUAUUAUACUUGAGGACUGUGAAUCCUCCAGACGGUUAGGCGUCGCGUUCAGAGCAUCCAAGAGACAUUGUGGAUUGCUAGUGAACGAAGUUUGUGAAGGUUUGGGAGUCUACCUUGAAGACUUACCAGAGUGAUUGGGCGAGGACUAAGUGACCUUAGCUCAAGGAGAAUACGGUGAGGACUUGGUGUCCUGAACUGUGUGUUCAGGACUGUGUGUCCGGGACUGUGUGUCCUAAGGUUUAAAUACCUAGCCGCUCCAACCAGACGUACAGUUGUCACAGCAACUGGAACUGGUCCAACACAUCAUUGUCUUCAACGAGUCACUGGUUUCAUCUUCACUUCCUUUUCUUACUGUUACUCAUUGUGAAGCCAUUGCAUACCUGCUCUAUCUUUUGUCUUCACAACGUGAAUGUAUGAUCUGGUUGGCUUCAUAACUUCUUCCUAUCUGAUCCUUAUUACACUGCAGUUGUUUGUCAUUGUGCUUUCACUCUAUUGAAUACAUGACCAUGGCUGGCCUAGUGUAAUCUAACUUCCGUUGCAUAGCAAUAGGCAUAAUCUUCGCAGUUUGUCUUCAUAACUCUCACGUUUUGAAUACUUUCAUAAAAAUCGCCUAUUCACUCCCCUCUAGUCGAUAUAACGCACUUUCAAUUGGUAUCAGAGCAAGGUGCUCCCUUGUUCUGUGUGAUUCGGUUUAACCACCUGGAGUUUUAGCUAUGUCGACUGCAGGGAUAAUCAAAGUCUCCGUUGCGUGCCCCGUCUUCGAUGGAACUGAAUAUCCCUACUGGAAGAAUAAGAUGCGCAUGCAUCUUGAAGCCAUUGACGUCGACCUAUGGUAUGUCGUUGAGAACGGCGUUCCCAAGGCUGGAGAAGGUGUCACUGCUGCUGAUGUCAAGAAGUUCACUCAACUGGACUCUACUGCCAAAAAUAUCAUAUGUGGCCAUCUGACAAAAGGACAGUAUGGCCGUGUGAGUGCUUUGAAGACAUCCAAGCUGGUCUGGGGCUGGCUCUCCAAGGUCAAUGAAGGCGUCUCAACCCAGAGAGAUCAAAGAAUCAGUGUUCUUCGCAACCUCUUCAACUGCUUCAAGCGAAAUGACAAUGAGAAUGUUCAGCACACAUUUGAUCGGCUCACUGACAUCACAAAUGAGCUUCAAUCCCUCGGCGCCACUGAGAUCACCAAACAUGAAAUCGUCAAGACGAUGCUGAGAUCACUUGAUAGUUCGUUUGACAUCCUAGCCCUGAUGAUUCAAGAACGUCCUGAUUUCAAGACACUCGAUCCGUCUGACAUACUUGAGAGGCUCAACACACAUGAGUUUCAGCUUUCUGAGAAAAGAGAUAUCUACGGUCCAAACUAUGGGCGAACUCGUGCCUUGAAGGCAAAAGCUGUUUCCUCAUCUGAAGAAGAAUCUGACAGCUGUUCUAAUGAUCCUGAAGACAUUGGAAGAGAACUUGCAAUGCUAGUGAAGAAGUUCCAAAAAUUCACCAAGAAGAAAGGCUUCAGAAAAUCUUCACGAUCAAGCUCAAGGAAUGAUGAAGCUUCUGCUCAUGACUACAAGAAGAAAACAUGUCACAAGUGCAAGAAAACUGGACACUUCAUCUCUGAGUGUCCACAAUGGGACAAUGAGAACAGAAGGAAGAAGAAGAUCAAGGAAUAUGAUUCUGACGACAAGAAGAAGAAGAAAUACUCAAAGUCUUCUUCCAAGUCUUCCUCAAAAUCUUCAUCACACAAGAAGAGCUCAUCUGGCAAGGCACGUGCAUUUGUUGGCAAGGAAAUGGAUUCAGAGGAGGAGUCCGCUUCUGAGGAGGCAGAGGUGGAGUCUGAGGAGGAGUCUGAUUCUGGCAUUGCGAGUCUGGCUACAACAUACGUCGCCAAGUCCAUCUUCAACACUGAAGACAAUGACUGCAUCACCGACAUCGACGCAAAUGACAAGAACGACUCCACUCCUACCUACUGCUUCAUGGCACGCGGUGCCAAGGUAAACACAUGCACUACUCGCUAUCAAACAUCUAGUGACGAUAACUCUGACUGUGAUUCAAAAUCCAGCUACAAAACACUUGCUAAAAUUGCAACUGAACAACAGAAAGCUAUGGAACAUAUUCAAAAACUGUUAGACAGAAGCGAUGAUCUGUUGGGUGCUGAAAUGACUCGAUCUGAAUCCUUAAUUGAAGACAUAAAAAAUCUUCACGUUAAGUAUCAGGAACUUGAAGAUCAUCUUGAUACUCUCUCAACAACUCAUGAAAAGCUUUCCUAUGAUUAUCUUUAAAGGAGGCAAGAACUUGAGAAAUUGAGAGCGGCUCAUGAAGAUCUUCAAAAGGAAAACGAGUCACUUCGCGCCGAACAGAUCAGUUCCGCUCAGGAAGGAUUUGAACCACCAUGUCUUAAAUGCAUUGAGCGUGAUAAUGCUACUUUUGUUGCUGAAUGUUCCACUGCUACUGCUGUUGCAAUAUCUUCAACUGUUGAUGUGGUAACUAACCCCUCUGCUAAGGAUACCACUGCUAUUGCUGAUGAGAAUGCUAGGUUGAAGACAUUGCUUGAAACAGGGAUGUACAAAAGUCUUAAAGGACAUCAGACAUUAUGUGAUGUCCUCAAGAAGCAGAUUCUGAACCGAAACCCCAGGAAAGAGGGUGUUGGGUUCGUGAGGAAAAUAAACGCAGAUGGCUCUUACUAAAAACCUGAGCAGUACCCCAAAAACACAUGGGUUGCUGCAAAGGAACUUUCAGCAGAUCCAUCCAAUUUAUCUGGCUUCACUUGUGCUAACCCCAUUAUCAUUGAUGAAUCUUUUGAUGCAAACUAUAAACUGUUUAAGAAUCAGAAUGAUGAAGUGUUUGCCAGGUACAUUGGUACUAACUGCAGGAAUGGACCGCCUAUGAAGAAGAUCUGGGUUCCGAAAAAGUGUCUGGAAAAUCUUCCUGUGAAUGUCUUCAUGACACCUCACUUGAAGAGAAGACAAACCUCAGACCAAAGGCUUCAUACGGUCCAAAGGCUUCAUACAAACAGAGGAGUCACCUGAGUCACACUAACGCAAAUGUUUUGCAGGGAAACCAUACUCAGGCAUACGAAUAUGAGAGCGGUUCUUCGAACCGUCAUGUUCAUAUGACCAAAAAUUAUUCUGCUUAUUCCUAUGAGUAUUAUUGUCCACCUGCUAGACUGUUUGCUAAGGCUUCAAAGCCAAAAUUCUCAGAUGCUGCACUUAGACUUAUAGCUUCUAAGCCACCCUUAAAGAUGUGGGUGGUUAAGAAAGCUUAACUCUCUUUUGCAGGGAAAGGUCUCCAGCACAAAAACAAAAUCUUCUGAUGCUAUUGCUGGGGACCUUAAAAAUCUUGUGGGGCGCAAGAUAAAAUGCCCAAAUGGCAUCGUUAUGUACUUCGUUCCUGAAUCGCAUGCUGCUCUCCCUAUUAGUCCUAAUCUGGAUCUAAGUUUUCGUAACCCACUGGUUCGUCAAAUGUUUUUGCUUCACAAUUCUCUUCGUGAAGCCUAUCCCCCUAACUGCAUUGUAGGGUACGACACCAGCGACUUCAAAGUCUUCAGAAUGGAUUAUUGACAGUGGGUGUACAAAUCACAUGACUGGCAAAAGAAGCCUUCUUAUGGACUCAAUCUUACGUCCAUCCGACAAGAGUCACAUCACAUUUGCUGACACUGGUAAAAGUAAGGUAUUGGGUCUAGGCAGAGUUGCAAUCUCAAAGGAUCAACACAUGGAUAAAGUCAUGCUUGUUGAAUCCCUUGGCUUCAACUUAAUGUCUGUCUCAAUGCUUUGUGAUUUGAACAUGAUCGUAAUGUUUGGAAAAUAUCGUUGCCUGGUACUAAUGGAAUCUGACAAGUCUCUAGUGUUUGAAGGGUAUCGGAAAGAUGAUUUCUACAUGGUAGAUUUCUCAUCAGGGCCACAACUGGCAGUAUGUCUUCUUGCAAAAGCUUCAGAAUGCUGGCUUUGGCAUCGGAGACUUGGGCAUGCUGGCAUGAGGAACCUCCACACCCUUGCGAAGAAGAAGCAUGUCAUAGGCAUCGAGGGCGUCAAGUUCAAGAAAGAUCACUUAUGCGGUGCCUGUGAAGCAGGGAAAAUGACAAGGGCAAAACAUCCUUCGAAGACAAUCAUGACUACUACACAACCCUUCGAACUGCUCCACAUGGAUCUUUUCGGUCCCACUCACUACUCAACUUUUACUACUUCUGCUUGCCUCUAUGGUUUUGUCAUUGUUGAUGAUUAUUCUAGAUAUACGUGGGUGCACAUAAUCCUUUACAAGACUGAAGUGCAGGAUGUCUUCAGACGCUUCGCCAAUCGAGCUAUGAACAAUUUUGGCGCCAAGAUAAAGCACAUCAGAAGUGACAAUGGCACUGAAUUCAAGAACACUGGCCUUGAUACAUAUCUUGAUACCUUGGGCAUCACACAUGAAUUCUCAGCUCCGUACACGCCACAGCAGAAUGGCGUCGUCGAACGCAAGAACAGAACACUCGUUGAGAUGGCCAGAACAAUGCUAGAUGAAUACAAGACUCCAAGAAAAUUCUGGACUGAAGCCAUUGACACUGCAUGCCAUACAAUCAAUCGCGUUUAUCUUCACAAGCUUCUGAACAAGACAUCUUAUGAACUCCUAACUGGCAAGAAGCCAAAUGUUAGUUACUUCAGAGUAUUUGGAGCAAGGUGCUGGAUCAAGGACCCACACCACACCUCAAAGUUUGCACCAAAAGCACAUGAGGGCUUUAUGCUUGGAUAUGGAAAGGAUUCGCACUCCUACAGAGUCUUCAAUCUCUUUCAUUACAAAAUGGUUGAAACAGUGGAUGUGCAGUUCGAUGAGACAAAUGGUUCACAAAGAGAGCAACUGCCAAAUGUGCUAGAUGAAGUUCCAGCUAAUGAAUCAAUCAAGCUUAUGGGAACUGGAGAGAUUAUACCUUCUGAAGCUCAUCCUGAAGAAGAACUUAUCAUCUCAGCACCUGAUCAACAUGAAGACAAUGCUCAGCCUGAAGACAUUCCUCCCAACUACAACACAGAUCAGCAAGAGCAAAGUCUUCGCCCUGUACACCCUCGUGUUGCCAACGAAGUGCAAAUUGACAGCAUCAAUGCACCUGGUCCACUCACUCGUUCAAGGGCAACUCAACUGGCGAAUUCCUAUGGGCACUUCGCAUUCGUAUCAAUAUCAGAACCCAAGAAAGUUGAAGAAGCCUUCAUGGAACCUGGAUGGAUUCAAGCUAUGCAAGAAGAGCUUCAACAGUUUGAACUGAAUAAUGUAUUGGAACUGGUUAAGCGUCCUGAUCCACGGAAGCACAACAUAAUAGGCACCAAAUGGAUAUACCGCAACAAGCAAGAUGAGCAUGGUCAAUUUGUCAGAAACAAAGCUCGUCUCGUUGCUCAAGGAUAUACUCAAGUGGAGGGCAUUGACUUCGAUGAAACAUUUGCUCCUGUGGCUAGGCUUGAAGCCAUACGCAUACUGCUGGCCUAUGCAAAUCAUCAUAACAUACUUCUAUAUCAAAUGGAUGUGAAAAGUGCCUUUCUCAAUGGCAAGAUUGAAGAAGAAGUGUAUGUUGCACAACCGCCUGGCUUUGAAAAUCCAAAACAUCCUGACAUGGUAUACAAGCUCAACAAGGCACUGUAUGGCCUCAAACAAGCCCCUAGGGCCUGGUAUGACACACUCAAAUACUUCCUGAAGAGCAAAGGCUUCAUACCUGGCUCCCUGGAUCCCACUCUUUUCACGAAGACAUAUGAUGGUGAACUGUUUGUGUGCCAAAUAUAUGUGGAUGACAUUAUCUUCGGCUGCACCAAUCAGAAGUAUAGUGAAGAGUUUGGAUAUAUGAUGCAAGAGCAACAUCAGAUGUCCAUGAUGGGGGAGCUGAAGUUCUUCCUUGGUCUUCAAAUACGACAACAACGCAAUGGCAUCUUCAUAUCUCAAGAGAAGUAUCUCAAAGAUUGCCUGAAGAAGUUCGGUAUGCAAGACUGCAAAGGCUUCACAACACCAAUGCCAGCCAAACAUCAUCUGGGUCCUAACGACAAUGGUAAAGAGUUCGAUCAAAAGGUAUACCGCUCCAUGAUUGGUUCUUUGCUUUAUUUAUGUGCAUCUAGGCCAGAUAUUAUGCUUAGUGUUUGCAUGUGUGCUCGAUUUCAAGCGGCACCAAAGGAGUCGCAUCACUUAGCUGUGAAGCGAAUUCUUCAAUAUUUGGCUCACACCCCAACUCUAGGGUUAUGGUAUCCAAAGGGCUCAGAGUUUGAUUUGGUUGGAUUUUCGGAUGCUAAUUAUGAUGGUGACAAGGUUGAUCACAAGUCUACAUUAGGCACAUGUCACUUUUUGGGACGAUCACUUGUAUGUUGAUCUUCAAAGAAGCAGAACUGUGUAUCUCUUUCCACUGCUGAAUCUGAAUACAUUGCUGCUGGAUCUUGCUGCGCUCAGCUUCUGUGGAUGAAGCAAACACUCAAGGACUAUGGCAUUCAUCUGAAGCAAGUGCCACUCUACUGCGACAAUGAAAGCGCCAUCAAGAUUGCCAACAACCCAGUUCAGCACUCGAAGACAAAGCACAUUGAAAUUCGUCAUCACUUUCUCAGAGAUCAUGUUGUGAAGGAAGACAUUGAUAUCAUACACGUUAACACUGAAGAGCAAUUGGCAGAUAUCUUCACAAAGCCCUUGGAUGAGAGGAGGUUUUGCAAGUUACGGUGUGAGCUAAAUAUCUUGGAGUCCUCAAACGUCAUGUGAUCAGGCACACAUCCUAACACUUAUGCAUUGAUGACUUAGAUGUGCAACACACAAAGUAAAGUGUAUCUUCAAUCAAUGAAGACAUACAUUCUAAGUGUGAAUACAUUAAUGUGGAAUUUAACUUCGGAGCGCCACGAUACUUGUGUGUCGUGUCUGGGUCUAAUACUUCCUAUACGGUGGGUAAUGCCACCACCAAACAUUCUAUUUCGAAGUGUUUCACUCAUGGCGUUACCUUGCAAUGUCUUCACAUUUGGUUUGGCUUCGAACUCAACAUGUCUUCAUAAUUAUCUUCACUACGUUGAUUAUAUAUAUAUAUAUAUAUAUAUAUAUAUAUAUAUAUAUACUGGUGCUCUGUCCUCUACAACAUUCACUUAUAGCUAUGUCUUCUUGUUUGAAUUUUUUGAACUAAGUGAAUGUGAUCGGACCCUAAUCUCUCUAUGCUUUCCAUCUCAAAUUCUAUCUCUCCAAGUCAUAUGCAUUCUAUUGAAACUGUCGAAUGUCUUCACUGUGUGCUUCAGCAGAAGAUAAAGAGACAACCAUAAAGUCCGUUUUCAAUGCUCAUUUAUCCACAUAAAAUCCGGAGAAGUAGGAACGACCGCCCGACAAUUCAGGCGUGUGUGGGACGUGGAACAAACCCAAAAAUUCUGCAAACUGGCCACGCGUUCCUCAGAUGCGAAUCGCCAGGGGCACCUGUGUAAUAGCACAGUGCCGCCCUUGAGCCUAUAAAUUCACACUUACCGCGGUCAUUAUCUCCUUCUUCCACCCUCGCACGAACCCUAGCGCCACCGCUAGCACUCGACGACGCCGGCGACGAAGCGCUUCGCUGCCGCAACUUCUCCGACGCCGUCUUCACGCCGAUCGGGGACAUCGUCUCUGCCGUUGCCGUAGGUGUCUUCCGUCGCCAAGUUAGGGCACGGAGGACUGAACUGCUCGGCAUCAUCUCCCACUCCAUCUAGCAGUUCCAAGUGUGGUAAAUAAAACCUCUUUUUACAGCCCCUUUUGAUCUCAUGGUUCUGUCACUUUCUACCAUAAGAAGUUUCUCUUCACACAAGUUAGAUCUCUCUAUCUGCAUCUCAUAACAUGCCUAGUAUAUUCACUUGUGCUUCAUAAAGAGUUAGAUUCCUCACUUGUACUGAUCUAUGGGUUCGUACAAAUCUGGAACCAACUUCUUAUCUAUGAGUGAAUGUCUUCGCACAAUGAGGUCAAUGUCUUCUAAACUGAUUAAUCUUCAAAACCUUCUGAGAAUGCAUAUGACCUCUUCCCCUUCCCUCGCACCUUAAUGCUGUCACAGGUACAUGUCCGUGGGAGAAUCCUUCGGUUCUCAUAGUCUGCAUUCAUUUGCAGAAUUCCUAAAGCAUCACAUAAACUCUCCUGAAGCCAGUUCCUGUUGGACCAGCAAAAGAAAGCCUUUGAAGCCUUUGAAAGUCUUGAAGCCUUUCAAGUUAAAGUUUAUGGCUUCAGAAGCAGCAGCAAGGAAGGGGCAGACAACGACGUGAAGGAACUUCCAAAGAUCUGCCUGAAGACCUAGCAGAAAUGUAUAAAACAGAUCCUGAAGAGAAUUAUGGGUAGCGCAAGACCCGAAUCCAAUGGAUUCGACGCUAUUGGGCUGAAUAGUGGUUCAAAUACCGCUUCCUCACCUAGGAGUAUGCUGAGAAAUGUGCCAUCAAGAAGCCAUGGGGGGACAUCCUUUACAAGAAUCUCAUACCCAAGACCAGAGGUGAAGCCAUUGCUCAAGGCUUCUACCCAUGCAUGGUCCGAGGACCACAACCUGAUGAUGCGCAUCCGUCGUCACUCCUUUGGUGUCGUGACGACAAUCUCUUCAAGCGCAACUUUCAGUUUGCUCAACAGUCAACGAAGCUGAACAAGAAGAAAUUUGGGUUAGACUUCAACCCUGGCCCCUCAGCACCAAGGGCAGAUGGCACACGUUACGCAGAACCCAAUAUCAUCGGUCCGUUUGCAAAUCUUGAGGGCCUGAUCACCCACAUCCUAGUCCAAGGGACUGCCGUGAAUGACCCUCUAGCUGACUCUGAGUUUGAUGAAGCUCCUGCUAUGCCGAAGCCAAAGCAGUCAAAGAAGCCAAAAGCUUCAAAGCCAGCCCCUGCCUCAAAAAUCUCUAGGGCGAAGCCAUUGAAAACUGCACCUCCUGAAGUCAGUGUGCAGUCUGAAGACGUAUCCCGCGUCUCCAAGCCCCAGAAAGAAAAGGAGCCCCAGUAACAAACCGACAAAGAGCUCACUGCUGCUGCCAUUCUGCGCAGCGAAGCCAUUGAUCUAUCAAGCGAUGAAGAUCUUGGAGAUGAUGCUCUAGAGCAGCUUAUCAAAAGCAAAGAAGAAGAUGAAAUCUUCAACAAUUUGCCUCUCUUUGAUGUCGCCAUCAUCCACAACUUUAUCUACGAAUGGUUUGCCUCCCCAGACAUAAGCUUCGAAGAUCUGCAGCUGCCUGUCGGCCUCAGCGUCGCCUUCCAAGGCGCAAUUGCUUCAGAACUUGCCAUUGCUCAGCGCAUAGUUGAGCUGAAGCAGAAAAUUGAUCAUGAAAAGGCUCAGUUCAAGAAGCACAUGGCCAGGCUCAGCGUGCAGGAAGUGAAGAGCUUCAAAACCAUGUUGCAUGAGCUCAAGGAAAUUUUCCUGAAGAAGCGUGCUGAAGCUCAGGGCUCACGUGAGCGGAUGAAGUCUCUGGCAGAACGAUGUGUGCAGGCCUACAAUGAAGCCAAGAAGCGCAAGGCACUUGGGCGUCCAGGCAUCGACCCCAAGAUGGCCGCGAAGAACAAGAAGCAGCCUACUGUGAAUGAACCAGAGGCACCAAGAUAAGAAGCUAUUCCGAUUGUCUUCCCAACCGCCACGACUGGCUCGAAGCCAAGGAGCCGGUCAACCGCUUCAGAGCUUAAGAAGACACGGAAUGCAGAGGCUGAAGCUAGGAAGAGGAAACACUCUGAAGCCUCUCCUUCUGACCCCACCAAGAAGAAGCGCAAGAUCAAGAAAGCUUGAGCUGCUCCCAUAGAGCCCUUGAUGGUUGAACCCCUCUCUGUCAUUCACCCCAACGCAGAACGUCAGCUGACGGUUCAUGAGCCUGCUCCCACAGAGGCUCCUGAAGCUGAAAACAUUCCAGCAGCCGACCCCAUCGCUGCUGAAGACAUUGGUCACCAGGACAAUGUACAAGAUGGUGCAGCCCUUCCUUAGCUUGAAACAAGCGAACUCAUCAGCAUUGGUCGUCCUCUGACGCCAAUGGCACAAGAUGAGUCAUGGGCAGAUCGCCCUCAGGAGGAAGAAGACUUUGAGGCCCAGCCCACUCCAACCCCACAAGCGUCGUCUGCGUUCCGUAGGCUUCGCAAAGGUCCAAGGCCUCAAGUCCAUACUGAAGAAAUUCCGGCUGCAUCAGCCGAAGACAAUGAAGAAGCACCACCAGAACCCACUCCCCCGCUACAUCAAGAUGCAGUUCUCUAGGAGAACGUGCCUGAGGUUGUCCCUCCAACUACACAAGCGGAGGAAGAAAAUGUUGAGGCUGCCACCACAAAUACUGAAGCCAAUGUGGAGCCCGCCCCACCAAAUGCUUCAGCAGACAGCGAAGCUACUGAGCCAGACUCUUCUGUUCCUGAGUUUGCUGCAGGUCCUCAAUUUGAUUACCAUGUUGAGCACAGGCCUCAUGUUCAGAAGCCAGUCCCAAGGCUGCCAAGGUUCCCAGGUCCUGCAUCAGCACCUGGCUCCUUUGAUAUUAAUAGCUUCAAGGCAGACAAUACAUUUUUCAACAGCUCCAAGAACCCUAUUCAAGGGAAAGGAUUGUAUCAGAUAGGUUCUGGAGCUAUCCUCAGCUCAGCUACUACUCAAGCAUCCUAUACAACCAAGGUUGCAUCUUCCCGCACAAGCGCCUUGAGGUUGAAGCCAUUGCUGGUUUGCCAUGUCUUGAGGAAGCCUUGGAUUGCUUCAAGCAAGUGGGUCUGCCGCCGUUUGUCACAGAUGAAGAGCACUGGAAUGAAGAGCUUCUGCUUUAGUUUUAUGCCACCCUCCACAUUAAAGGAUACAACAGAGAUCCGAAGACUUGGGUCCUGGAGUGGAUGACCGGCAAUGUCCAUCAUGAAGCCAAUGCAUUUGAUAUCAUUGAGCUCACCGGCCUGCCCACUCCUGGCGAAUUCUACGAGGAAGGCUGUCAACUACAUGAUGAAGCUAUUGAGAGCAUAUUCUAGAGGCCUGGACCAAAUAUGAGUCAGAUGCUCUCAAUGAUGAAGCCAUUGCCCCACGAUGCUCCUUAUCCAACAGAGUUCUUCGUUGAAGACUUUGAGUUCCUGCCCAGGACCAUAUAUCACAUCAUCCGGCGGACUCUCUGGCCUAUUAAAGGGCACUCUCCAAAUGCCAAGAUCGAAGGUGCAAUGAAGACUAUGAUAUUUUGUAUCCUUCAUGGCAAAUGGUUCAACGCACAUGAUUUCUUCAUACGCCAACUUGCAGCGUCAGGCUCAGAUUUAUUUGGUUUGAAGUUCUAUGCUCCUUGAGGCUGAUCAAACUACACUUUGCGAUCUCGUAUCAGCCCUCAGCUCGAAACCAUCGGAUCUUCUUGCCAGAUGUGGACACCUCCUCUGAAGCUAUAUAUCCUGAGCCUGCCAAGCAACCAUUGAGUCUUCAGAAUGCAGAACACCAGAGCUUCACUCAGAACGAUGAAGGUGUUGAAGCCAUCUCCAGGGUGUAUCCUUUGGCUGGCACUACACAUGCGCCACACCCUGCUUCAACUGAAGCCACUGAUAGUGCACCUGCUUCAAGACCCAAGAAGCACACUCGUGUUCUCACUGACCGAGAGCUUCUUGUGGCCCUUCAUCAAAAACAAGAUAGGCAUCACGACUGGCUAAAGCGUCAGAUGAAAAGCCUCUUGGUGGAUGUUAAUCGUCUUCGAAAUCUUGCCACCAAGAAUGCUUUUGUCACUCAUGAGACGUGCCGUCGUACAUGGAAAGGGCUCUCAAUGAUAUGCACUGAAGCUGAACUUGAAGAGGAUGGCCUCACAGAGCGCUUCAAGUUUGACACCACACCUCCUAGAAGGGCUGUGAUGCGCAACACACCAUCACUUGAAGACUCUGAGUUUUCUUCAUCUGCUGCCACAGUCACUGCCAGAAUCAUUGAUGAAGACGACGAUGCUACAUCACCGCCACCUGCUUCAGCACCUCCAAGCUCUGCACCGCCAAACAACUCCACCGACCCUGCUGCGCCCGGGAACGCGUAGAAAACUCUAUGUCUUCAAACCUUUUUGGUCAUUACUGACAAAAGGGGGAGAAGCAUAUGAUGUUUAUAGUCUUCAAGCGGGUCAAUAUGGGCGGAUGCCUUAUGUUUUGUUAUAUUUUGCUUCGUGUUUACAACUCUUGUUUUUGCUUCAUUUGGUUCUUUGAGUUGUAAACACUAAAACUCGAUGGCCGUCUGCUACUUGUUUGCCACUCUGUUUGCGAAGAUAAAUUCCGCAUGUGCGACGAUAAAUUCCGCACUUAUCUCAUUCUGCAGACGUCCAUUUUCCAUUAUGCAUGUCAUUAUCUUCAUAUACUUUCACAUGCAUAGUGGAUUGUCAUCAUAAGCUGAAGUGGAUCUCCACAAGUACAACCUGCCAUGUGCAUUUGCAUUCCAAAAGCAAAUUAACUUAUAUGCACAUCUUCAGGGGGAUCCCUUGCAACUUAUGAAGACAAUUCCUUUACAAUUUCACAGACUAUAUUCCCCGUUGAAAACUUCAACUAGUUUGUCAUCAAUCACCAAAAAGGGGGAGAUUGUAAGUGCAUCUAGUGCCACCCCUAGUUGGUUUUGGAGUAUUGACGACAAACCUAGUUGAGGGACUAAUGUGUUUGUGAGAAUUGCAGGAUAAUACAGGUAGAAGUCCCUCAUUGAUUCGGUUUUACCACCAGAGAUGACCCCUAAAAAUGUAUGAAGACAUUGAAGACAAAGGUGGUACAUGAAGAUAUUCACUUUGAAGACUAUGACAAAACAAGACACGUUAUGAAGCAUAUGGAGCUCGAAGACUUAGAUCUUUCGUAGUUCCUUUUCUUUUGUGUUGAGUCAUAGGAACCACCGUACUGUUAAGUGGGGUCCAGGAGAACCAGUUAGAAUGACUGAAGUGAUGCCCAAACUAAAAACCUAUGUCUUCGAGUGAAGACAAUGAGAGCGAAUCUUGUCUAGAGCCGGACAAGUCAGCUUUGCUUGUAGCCCAAGUAAAGUUGCCAUGAGAGUUUAAAAUCUGACCGUUGAUACACGUGUCAGUUCCUUAGUGACCCAGGGUCAUUUCGGACAAAUCAGGUCGGGUUGCCAAGUGGCUAUAAAUAGCCCACCCCCACAACCAUAAACGGUUGGCUGCUCAAAUUUCAGUGCACGGCUUUUGUCGUUUGAGAGCAACCCACCUCGAAGCCUUUGAGAGAAAAUUCCUAGUGAGGAGAAAAGCCCUAACCACCCAGAGCCAGAGCAAAUUGGGCAUCACUUAGGUCUUCUUGUCUGUGUGAUCUGAAGACUUAUUACACUUGAGGACUGUGAAUCCUCCAGACGGUUAGGCGUCGCGUUCAGAGCAUCCAAGAGACAUUGUGGAUUGCCAGUGAACGAAGUUUGUGAAGGUUUGGGAGUCUACCUUAAAGACUUACCAGAGUGAUUGGGCGAGGACUAAGUGACCUUAGCUCAAGGAGAAUACGGUGAGGACUUGGUGUCCUGAACUGUGUGUUCAGGACUGUGUGUCCGGGACUGUGUGUCCUAAGGUUUAAAUACCUAGCCGCUCCAACCAGACGUACAGUUGUCACAGCAACUGGAACUGGUCCAACACAUCAUUGUCUUCAACGAGUCACUGGUUUCAUCUUCACUUCCUUUUCUUACUGUUACUCAUUGUGAAGCCAUUGCAUACCUGCUCUAUUUUUUGUCUUCACAACGUGAAUGUAUGAUCUGGUUGGCUUCAUAACUUCUUCCUACCUGAUCCUUAUUACACUGCAGUUGUUUGUCAUUGUGCUUUCACUCUAUUGAAUACAUGACCAUGGCUGGCCUAGUGUAAUCUAACUUCCGCUGCAUAGCAAUAGGCAUAAUCUUCGCUGUUUGUCUUCAUAACUCUCACGUUUUGAAGACUUUCAUAAAAAUCACCUAUUCACCCCCUCUAGUCGAUAUAACGCACUUUCACCGUCCCCUCCCCCUCCCCCCCACUGCCGCGGCCGUUGCUGCGGUCCACCAUCGUCGUCCCAGAGAUCCUGGGCACUCCCUUUGGCCCCGUGGUUCAGGGCGGGGCGGCCUUCCUGCGCCCCGGCUCGCCGGCCUGCCAACGGGGGUUGGCAGGUCAAGGAGAGCAGGCGCCGGCGUGCCCCGCGGCCGCGCGCUCCGCGCCAGCAGCGUCGUCGCCAGGAUGGGAGGAUGCGUGUGUUGGCCGCUCCUCGCCCCCCUCCCUCCUUCAAGCUGCCGGUGGAGCUGUACGGCUGCUGCUACAACUGCGGCAGCGAAGGGCACAUCUCCAGGGAGUGCACCAACCCCACGCUCUGCGUCCGGUGCCGGGGACCUGGGCACACCUCUCGUGGUUGCACUCGCCCGCGCAGCCCAUCUCUGGUGGAACAGGAGCCACGCCUGCCGCCUGCUCUUCAGCCGUCAGCGGUGGAUGUCCCACCCCUCGCCCCGUCUCCGGUCUUGCCUAGGCGCUCGCAGUCGGAUCUACCGCCCCCGCCACCUGGCCCUCCGCCGCCCGGUGUGGUGCGCCUGUGGAGUCAGGUGGUGCGGGAGGCGCCCGCGGUGCGGUCGCCGUCCGUGGGGGGAUCUGCGGGGCCAGUCUUCUCUUCCCCGUUUGGUCUGUUGGAAGGCCAGUUGUCGCGGCAGGAGUGCCGCAGUGAGGAUCCGGUGGAGGCCUACUUUCUUGAGGCGGUGGAGGACACAAGAUUGCUAGAGGCGGAGCUGGCUCGUGCGGUUCUGGUCACCGUCAUCGGCACCAGACCAGCGGUGGAUGUUGGCUCGGCGGCGAGUGCGCUGCACUCGACGUUUGGUGUCAGCCCGGCGGAGAUGUCCAUUCGUCGUUUCUUCCUAGAGGAUUUCCUUGUGCUCUGCCAUGAUGGGGCACUGCGGGAGCGCAUGGUGCGGGCUGGGUGUGCGCAAGCUCCCUGGUUCGAGCUCUCUCUGUGGCCCUGGCUCCGACAGGCUCAGGCUACGACGGCGGCCUUGACUUCCCUCGUCCCUGUCUCGUUGUAGGGCUUGCCCGCCCAUGCCUGGACCCAGAGAACGACAAGUGUGAUCCUGCGGGGACUUGGUUAUGUCGUGGGCGUGGACGAGAGCACGGCGAACAGGACGGACAUGGCGGAUUUCCGGGUCUGGCUCCGCACAGACCGGCCCAGGCAGAUUCCAAGGCGGCGCAUCCUCUACAUCUAUGAGCCCAGGCACACUAUUUGGUCCAAGGGUGGGGGAGGACGGCGGUCGACUGGUGCUCGGUGCUCCACGGCCCUAUGGUACCCCAUUGACAUCGUCGUGCUCAUGGAUGGAAUAGAAGAUGGUGGGAUGCCCGAGGAUCGGCCGGCGCCACCACCAUCGUCGCCGCCUCCAUCGCCACCGUCUGGGAGGAAUGGCCAUGGUCAGGAAGGGAAGGACCGUCACUCUGGUGGAGGUUCGGCGAGUACGACAGAAUCGACGGUGGCGCCGCCACCGGCGGGCACGCGCACCCACAUUCAAGCCAGGCGCGGCCAGUGGGGUCUCAUGGUCAGCAACAGCUGGCUUGCUGAUGUCAGGGAGUCCUUUGUGGAUAGGGAAGACCAGCCAAUCGGAGGAGACGCAUGGAGGAAUGACUGCUGUCCUCGCUUGCGGACGGCGUCAGGUGCGGCCCCAGCUGUGGCUGUGAUGACCGUUGGUUCCCCGCCCUCGGUUCAGCUUACCAGAUGGCGACAAGGCGGGCAGCCGGGAUCGGUAGCUUUGCAGGUGCUGGGGCCCCGCGGAUCAGUGUGUGUUCCGGUUGGUGGACAGAGGUGCGAUGAUUCGGUUUGGAUUGGCUCGGUGCAAAUCCCGCUGCAGGACCUGGAUGAGGAUGAGACUAACGGCGAUGUGUUAGGUGAGGAAGGACAGGAGCUGUCGCUGUCGAGUUCUGGAAGCGGCAAAGAUGUAGAUGGACAACAACUGUCGCUGUCGAUGUCGGGCAGCAUGGAUGUUGGGGACAUGCAGGUGGAGCCAUGGGAUACUUUCCUGGUCAGCCUAUCAGAGGGAGAAAGCAGUCCAGCAUGGGACCCAAUUGCAAGCACGCCUCUCCAAGCAGAUAAGGUGGAGCAUGUGGAAGGGAUGGUGGGCCCGGUGCGUGAUCCCGUGCCAUGCAGGCCUUUGCAUGGGGAGCUGGAGACCCCACAGGGAGAUUCGGUGGCCCAUGUAGAGGUGGUGGAGGGCCUGGCGCGCGAUCCCGUGCCAUGCAGGCCUAUGCAUGGGGAGCUAGAGGCCCCACAGGGGGAUGGAGUGGGCCAAUCGGGGGAUCCUGCGCCAUGCACUCCUGCGCCCGUGCAUGCGGGUCCAACUACCCCUUUCCACGUCGAUGUGGGUGGUUUUUGCGCGUGUAUGUGCGUAGGGCUCUCACCGGUUCUAUCUAGGCCGGUUGCGCGUGUGGCUACCAACCCAGGCCGCCAGGCAAGGAAGAAACAGAGGAUGGAUACGACUCCAAGGCGCAGUGCAAGGAUUGCUAAGCAUGCAGCGUCAAAACAACAGCAGGUGCUGAUUCGAAAAUUAUGCCUGGCAAAUGAGGGCGAGAUCAUUUCAGAUGAUGCAUUGCGGAUGUACGUCGAGUUGUUUUCAAGACCACUCUCGGAAGCUCACAUCGUGGUGGUCUUGGCCCUGUUUGGCUGGGAGUCACCACCGGUGCCUUUGGCGGACGGCCUUGAAGUGGUCUAGCUGUUGCCGCGGCUGCGUGGGUCUUUGUAAUGAAUGCACAACCGUUGAAAGUGCUAGUGUGGAAUGUCCGUGGGCUAAACGCCCAGGCUAGGAGGAACACCCUUUACCAAGUGGUCACAACAGCAAACCCGACUAUUGUCUGCCUUCAGGAAACCAAGCUACAUGAUGUAUCGAUAAGAAUUGUUCGGCAAUGCCUCGGUAAUAAAUAUGAAAGUUUCUUUUACUUGCCGGCUCAGGGCGCUCGGGGUGGAAUCUUGGUGGCUUGGGAUGCAUCCGUCACCCAACUGUCCAAUCCACACUAUACUUCUCAUACUUUGAUCGCUCUCGUCAAGUGUCCGGAGGACGAGCAGGCAUGGUGGCUCACAUGCGUGUAUGGUCCACAGGAAGAGGCUGAAAAGCUAGAGUUCUUGCAAGAUUUGGUGGACAUCCGUGACUUGCACGCGGGCCCUUGGGCGGUGGCUGGAGACUUCAACCUGCUGGCUAGGCAGGAGGAUAAGAGCAAUGCUCUGAUUAACCGAAGAAUGCUGGGAAGGUUUAGAGCCAAGCUAAACUUGCUUGAGCUUAAGGAGCUUUACCUCAAUGGGAGGCGCUAUACAUGGUCAAACGAGAGGCAAAAUCUGACGUUGGAGAAAAUAGACCACGUGUUUGUCUCCAACGAGUGGGACGAAGCAUUCCCAUCAUGCUUCCUCUCUGCCCUUGGGACAACGGUUUCAGAUCAUUGUCCACUCAUGUUGGAUAUGAACAUGGACAUAAGUAUGCGGAAGAGAUUUAAGUUCGAGGCUUUUUGGAUCAAAGCGGAGGGGUUCAUGGACACGGUACAGAUGGCGUGGGACUCGACACCGGUGGCUACAAAUGACUACCUAACACUCCAUAACAAGCUGAGGGCAACGGCGAUCGGCCUUCAAAGGUGGAGCGCUUGAUGGAUUGGGAAUGUGAAACUACAAAUAUUGAUUGCAAUGGAGGUCAUCAAACAGUUGGAUACGGCCAUGGAACUUAGGGCGCUGUCAGAUGCAGAGAGGGAUUUGAGGAGUUGUUUGAAGAAAAAGCUACUUGGGUUAUGCUCUCUUGAGAGAACCAUUGCAAGACAGCGGUCGAGACUACUGCAGUUGCGCGAGGGCGAUGGGAGUACAAGGCUUUUCCAUCGGCAAGCAAGCCAUCGACACAGGAAGAACGUCCUCCAACAAGUCCCUAGUGACUCUUUUACCCAAGAAGGAUGGUGCUCUCGAGGUGAUAGAUUUCAGGCCGAUCAACCUUGUUCAUGGGGCUAUAAAAAUCUUUGAGAAAGUGCUUGCGUGCAGAUUGGUGAUGCAGUUGCCAAAGCUUGUGGGUAAUCAUCAGAGUGCGUUCAUCAAGGGCAGAUCGCUACAUGACAACUUCAUGUUGGUGCAAUGUACUGCUCGCAGGCUCAAUGCCCUACGGAACCCAGCAGUGCUGCUCAAGUUGGAUAUAUCGAAGGCUUUUGAUUCUGUCAAAUGGCCUUUUCUGAUUGAGGUGAUGCAGCAUCUUGGAUUUGGGCCUAGGUGGAGGUCUUGGAACUGUGGGAUUCUUGCUACAUCCACCACCAAAGUUAUGGUGAAUGGAGACCCCAGGGACACCAUUUUCAACUGCAAGGGGCUUAGGCAGGGUGACCUGAUAUCACCAAUGCUUUUCAUCCUCACCAUGGAGCCUCUAUAAAGGAUGUUUGAGCAAGCCACGAGGAGAGGCAUUUUGGAGCCUUUGGCGCGUUCGGGAGUAAGGCAACGUUUAUCCAUCUUUGCGGACGACGUGGUGGUGUUCAUUAAGCCAAAACCAUUGGAGCUGGAGAUUAGUAAGCGAAUCUUUGAGAUGUUUGGGGAAGCGUCGGGGCUGCAGAUAAACAUGGCGAAGUCAGAUGUUCUUCCUAUAAGAUGCAAUGAUCAGGAAAUCACAUUGGCAAGCAUAGAGCUGGGAUGCCCGAGAGGAUCAUUCCCGAUCAAGUACUUGGGUUUACCUUUGUCCCUAAGGAAGCAAUCACCGGCGCAGCUGCAAUACCUUGUGGAUCAGAUGGCAAAUUGUUUAUCGAGGUGGAAGGCGGCACUUAUGCCAAAAAGUGGGCACCUAACUCUGGUCCAGUCAGUCCUAUGCGCCAUGCCCAUACAUGCCAUGAUGGCCUUGGAUCUCCCGAUGAAGACUAUUGCUGCGAUGAAAAAAGUGUGCAGAGGUUUUCUUUGGUGCCGGAGGGCCAUUGCCAAUGGCAGAAAUUGCGAUGUCGCCUGGGACUCGGUGUGCACAUCGAAAUGGGCAGGAGGCCUGGGGCUGCCAAAUCUUAGAUGGCUUAACGUGGCCAUGCAGGCCCGGUGGCCGUGGCUGCAACGAGCGGAUGUGUGUAGACCAUGGAGCGGAUUUAACAUCCGAGUUCCAAGGGAAGCGAAAAGACUCUUCCAGACAGCAACAAGGAGUGAAGCAAAUGCUGGGCUUAACACACUCUUUUGGGAAGAUCAUUGGAUCGAUGGCCUGAGGGUUCAAGACAUUGCGCCAAAUAUCUAUGGCCGAAUCUCGCGGUGAGUCAGAUCGAUGAGACUGGUGGCGCAUGCCAUUGCAGAUGGGUCUUGGGCAUUGGAUGUUGGUCCCGAGAUAGGUGAUGAAGCUCUACAGGAAUUCCUCUCGUUAUGGGUCAGAGUGAGUGUUUGGGAGCCUAACGUGGAUACGCCGGAUACGAUAUCUUGGGCAUGGGAGACUAAUGGACAGUACUCGAUGAGGUCGGCAUACGCGGCAAUGUUUUGGGGCAGGACUGUGGAGCCCAUGGCGGAGCUGACUUGAAAGUCUAGGGCGCCUUCCACUUGCAAGUUCUUUACAUGGCUUGCGUUGAGGGACCGAUGUUGGACCUCGGAUAGACUUGCACGGAGAGGAUUACCGCAUCAGGACGCAUGCCCUCUGUGCAACCAGGAGGAAGAAACGAUAAACCAUGUGCUACGAAUGUGCAUGUUUGCCAGAUCGGUAUGGGUCGUUAUAUGUCAAGCUCUGGGCAAGUUGUACUGGACACCGACGGCGCAGGAUACCUGUGGCUCAUGGCUUAGGGAGAAGCAGGAGCCUCACGGCCUACGGCGGAAGGAUCUGCAUACGAUCUUCAUUCUAACGCUUUGGGAACUAUGGAAGCAUCGCAAUGCGAUUGUGUUCGACGGAGCGUCUCCGUCGAUGAGUGAACUUUUGGGUAGGGUCAGGUCAGGGGGCAUGAUUUGGCUGAGUGCCGGCAAAUUUAAAGGCAAUGUUGAUGAUUUUUUCCGUGGAUUGUUUAGGUGGGCUAGUAGUGAGGAGUGAGUUGUAACGAACUCUUGUAAACUAUGGUGGAGGCACUCUUUUGCCUUUCUUCUUUAAUAUAUAAUAUGCACACUCGUGCAUAUUCGAGAAAAAAAGAUUUUACAUAUUUUUCUAAUCAAAUUUCAUACUCCCUACAUUCCACAAUGUAGUGCUUCCUCUAUCCCCGUGCUUCAACUUUGACCGUAAAUUUAACUACCAAGACCGAUUGCGACGGGAGCAAAAUGUAUAUCAGUGAAUUCGUAUUCGAUAGAAGUUUUCAAUUAUAUAUUUUUUCUCCCGCCGCAGUUGGUCUCGUUGGUUAAAUUUAUGGUCAAAGUUGGACCUCGGAAAGCGCGGGCGCACUAUAUUUUGAAAUGGAGGGAGUAUAUAAUAUGUUAAAUUUUGGAGUUAGGGUUUAAAAGAUAUGAAUAUUUUUUCAAAGCAUUUGAUAUGUACCGCGGGUUGAUUAACCCAAAUAUCAGGGGUUUCUUACAAAAGCAAAAAUCUGACUUAAAAUUAGACCGUGUUGAUUACCAGAAACAUCAAGAGUUAUGCAAAAACAAAAAUCUAACUUAAAAUUGGACCGCAAGUUGAUUACAAAAACAUAAGGGGUGUCUAGAAAAUAGCAUGACGGUGCAAAAAUCACAUAAGAAGUUGUAGACCCAUCAUCUAUUAGAUAAGUCUGCAAAAUAUUUGACAAACGAAAAGAGAUUCAUACAUGUCUUUAAAUCCGGAGGUCCUUCACAUCAAGAAGUUGCAGAACAAUCAUCUAUUAGAUGAGUGUGCAAAAUAUUCGACAAAUAAAAGAGAUUCAUGGUCCUUAAAUACUAAGAUGCUUCGCAACAAUAUGCCCAUUUAUUUAUCAUCUCCUUUAUCAAAGGGGAGAUUUAAUUUCUUCAUUUAACAUCUCACAAAGCCCCUUUAUUACCGGUUACUUUAUGUCAGGUUUAUUUUUCUCAUUUCACAGCCUUGAAGCUUCUUUACACGCAGCUCGGCAUCAAAAAAUUCUUAUUUGCUCAAUUUGUGAUUUUUCUUCUCAAAAUCUGGUUUAUUAAGGAGAAAACGAAAAAUAACAUAUAUGGAAACUAGGCGCAGAGCGCGCCGCGCUGCUAGCUACUAGGCCAUUGGGCCAUGUAAGGGCCAGUUCUUUUGGCAGCUUAAAAAAUAAGCCGCUUCCUCCUCAUCUUUUCUCAUAAUCUGCCUCCCUCGUUCAUGGGGCUUGUGAACUAGUUACAGGAUAACUAAUAUAGAAGUCUCAAUAAAUUUUAGGAGCAGCUUAUUUUUUAAGUUGGGGAGAGACAACAUAUUUUUAAGCCGCCUAAAAGAACUAGCCCUAAAGCCACGUGUUCGCCUGCAUGAGCGAGGACAAUGCAAGAUCUCGCUUAUAGCAAGGAUAUCAUCUGUCUCGCCUGAAGGGUCCGUGUAUAUGGACCGGCCAGUUUGGUUAUCUUUUUUAUUUUAGUUUUCCUUUACUUCUUAAUAAUUUUCUUUGUUUUUUGUUUUUCAUCAUUUUUCUUUGUUUCUUUCAAAGUUUUUACUACUUUAUUCUCUUUUAUUUAUUUAUAAAUUUUGUUUAUUUUUCCUUUUUUGUUUUUCUUCCUUUGUUUUCCUAUAUUUCUCCGUGCUUUUGGGGAUUUUAUUGGUUUUCUAUGUUUUUUGUAAAUUUUUGGGUUGCAUCAGAAACAUUUUUAUAUACAUGUUUAUUAUUUCACAAAUACGUGAUUAACAUUGUUUAUAACUAAUAUUUUUGAUAUCUACUUUUUUCAUACACAUUGUACACUAGAAAAAAUUUCUAUAUACAUAUUUAAAAUUUUGUAAAUACAAGAUUAACAUUUGUUUUAACAUAUAGUUUUUGACAUCUAGUUUUUCUAUAUUUUUUUUAUUGUUGAUAUACAUCAGAAAAUUUUCAUAUACACAUGUUACAUGCUUUUUUAAACAUAUUUUUUUGUGUCUACAUUUUUCAUACAUAUUGUAAAUUUUUUAUAUAUAUUAGGAACAUUUUCAUAUACAUAUUUAACAGCGUCUAAUUAUAUGGUGACAUUAUCAAAAACUCAUAUUUCUGAUGUCUAGUUUUNNNNNNNNNNNNNNNNNNNNNNNNNNNNNNNNNNNNNNNNNNNNNNNNNNNNNNNNNNNNNNNNNNNNNNNNNNNNNNNNNNNNNNNNNNNNNNNNNNNNNNNNNNNNNNNNNNNNNNNNNNNNNNNNNNNNNNNNNNNNNNNNNNNNNNNNNNNNNNNNNNNNNNNNNNNNNNNNNNNNNNNNNNNNNNNNNNNNNNNNNNNNNNNNNNNNNNNNNNNNNNNNNNNNNNNNNNNNNNNNNNNNNNNNNNNNNNNNNNNNNNNNNNNNNNNNNNNNNNNNNNNNNNNNNNNNNNNNNNNNNNNNNNNNNNNNNNNNNNNNNNNNNNNNNNNNNNNNNNNNNNNNNNNNNNNNNNNNNNNNNNNNNNNNNNNNNNNNNNNNNNNNNNNNNNNNNNNNNNNNNNNNNNNNNNNNNNNNNNNNNNNNNNNNNNNNNNNNNNNNNNNNNNNNNNNNNNNNNNNNNNNNUUUUUUCGUACACAUUGUACAUUUUUUAUACAUCAGAAACAUUUUUGAUACACAUUUAAGAAUUUUGAAUGCAUGAUUAUCAUUUUUAAAAUACAAAGCUUAUAUCUUUUUUAUACAUUGGAUUUUUGCUUAUAUCUUUUUUAUAUAUUGGAUUUUUAAAUAUAUAUUAGCAUAUAUAUAUAUGUUAACAGUGCCUAAAUACAUGAUGACAUUAUGGAAAAGUUAUAUUAUUUUUAUGUCUAGUUUUUUACAUACAUAUUGUACAUUUUUUCUACAUCAGAAACAUUUUUCUAUACACAUUUCAUAAUUAUAAAAGCAUGAUUAACAUUUUUCUAUACACAUAAAGGUAUUUUAUAAUAAAUAUAAUCAGAAUUUUUUUUAUUGAAGCAAAGUUGAAAUAAAAUCAAAAAAAGAAUGCAAAAUGUGAAGAAAAAAAGAAAGAAAAAUAUAGCAAUCAAGGCGUUUGUCCGCGUUGGGACGGCUUAAUCGCGGGGCUGUGUGAAUCGAGAUAUCCUCCUUUCCCCCAUGAGUCGCGGUCACAACUAUCGCUUGGGCUUACUGGUCGAUUCGUUCAAGCUUCCACGCCAAGUCCUCAGGGCAAUUGAUAUGUAUCGCAAUGAUAUGUAUAGCUCAUUGCGAUACAUACCGAUGUGAUGAGAGCAACUAGUUAACGAGUGUUUCUUGGGAAGCCUCGCAACGAUUAGCGUCACUUGGCGCGCUCUUAGCUAUUCGCCACGUGUCACGCUCUGGACGCUCCCUCCAGAUUUUGUUUUUAUUUUAUUUUUUCACACGCGUUUUUGACUUUUUAAACGGUUUUUUUUCGAUUUUUUUGAUGUUUGGUAAAAAAAUGCGUGAAAAAUGCGUUUUAUUUUUUUCUUUUCGCGAGAGUCACGGUUUUACUUCUGCAAGAGGCACGGUUUUUGUUUCGCGAGAGUCACGGUCGUGCCUCUCGGAAACGGAAAAAAUGGGUUUUCUGUUUUUUCCUUUUCGCGAGAGUCACGGUCGUGCCUCUCAGAAACGAAAAAAAUGCGUUUUUUUGUUUUUUUCCUUUUGUGAGAGGUGAUGGGGUCACGUACCUAGGGUAGGGUCAUGGACCUGAUCUAAGUACCUUACCCAAGGACACCCUUAGAAGAGGUCGCCUUCCAGUCGACCAACGAGGGACUCACUCGACUGACUUGAAGGACUCGACCACGAAGACUCACUCGACCACCAGAAGGUCAAGAGGCACUCUACACGGCAACGACCUGUAAUUAAGUAGACUUUAUGGUAGUAAAGACACUUUAUGUGGGGCGUUAUCAGUAACGCCCCGGACUUAACUUACCUUAAACCCUCUCCUACGUGGGCUGACUGGGGUCCCGGCGCACUCUAUAUAAGCCGUCCCCCUCCAUAGGUAGAGGGGUUCGGCACCUUGUAACUCAUAUACUCAUAAUCCACUCGACCGCCUCCGGGCUCCGAGACGUAGGGCUAUUACUUCUUCCGAGAAGGGCCUGAACUCGUACAUCCCUUGUGUUUACAACCUCUCCAUAGCUAGGACCUUGCCUCUCCAUACCUACCCCCACUCUACUGUCAGGCUUAGAACCACGACAGUUGGCGCCCACCGUGGGGCAGGUGUUUUAGCGAUUUUGUGGAGAAGUUGCGAUUCUUCCGAGUACUUUCAUCACGGUGUCUGCUGGAGUUUUGGUCAAAGGUCGAGAGAUCUGUCUCGGCACUCUCACCUUCAUCGCCGACGACUCCGCCUGGCUCCAGGAGGCUCCACUCGAUGUUGAUGCGCUCCCCGUCCGCGGUGCGACGCAUUUUCGCGCAUGUGUCCGCGGCGUUCUCCUGCGGCAACCGUCGACCCCGUAUUGGACGACUCCUCCAUCGUCCACCCUCCCGGUCUCCCGCCAGCGCAAGCGCUCGGGCCGGUCGAGGCUUCAGCGAUGGAUGAGGCACGCGGUGGCUCGCCAAUCGGCCACCACCCAAGUUGCGGCAAUCGAGCCCGACGAAUCUCUCUACGGCUUGUUCGAUCUGUCGACUGGCUCCGUAGAGACUGCAUCCGAGUGCGGUAGCAGUGAUCCAGCGGCGGAAAUCUUGAUGGUCGACGGGCCCCGCAGCCCCGUGAUGGUGGAGCAGGUGACGGAGGCGACCCUGCACGAGGCCACGAAGAGUACCAGCCCGAGCCACUCGACUCUCUGCAAAGAGAGGAACUUCGCCGCAGGAACAUGGAUGCUUUGCGUACUCCCAUCGCAGGAGAAACCCCCGAGGCUCGUGCCUUGGAGGAGGCGCGUCUGGCCAAUUUGGCCGAACGCACUCGACUGGAGAAUCUUCAGCGAGCACUCGACGAGCGCGCGCGGCAACGAGUUCCCGACACCAGUCGACGUCAACUCUUCCCGCCGACUCAGGUAUAUCGAACCCCAAUCCAGAAUUUAGCAGCUGCGACCCGUAUAGCAGAGUCCAUCCAGCCUUCGCAGUCAGAAGCUGGCAGAGGUUUGCUGCAGAUCAGGGAUCUGCUCCGGGCAGCAGGAGAUCAGAAUUCAGUCGUGUCUCAGUCGCGCAACAGAAUUCACAGUCGAUCCGUCACUGCGAAUACGGUUCAGUCGGCUCACAGCCCCAGAUCGCCUCCGCGGCGUGAAGGGCGCGAGAAUCGGCGAGAUCAAUAUGGCGACCGACUCGACCGAGAUGAUAGGCGUCGAGUGCCCAAUUCCCCUCCGAGGGGUGGGUCUUACGCUCCUUGGCAGCAAGAUGACAGGCGUCAGUACAGUACAGGGCGAAGGGUUCCAGUCGACCCCAGAGAACCAGGCUUCGACGCGCGAUCCAUUAUCGUGCAAGGUUUGGUCGACCGGAACAGAGCCCAUCGAGGCGGACUCGACAGAGAUGCACCCACAAGCAGUCGAGUGCAUGUUUCUGGUCCUGAAUGUUUCAGCAGAGCUAUCAGAGCCGCAGUUAUCCCUCCCAACUUCAGGUUGGCAACAGGAGUCAGCAAGUUCACUGGUGAGUCUAAGCCUGAAACUUGGCUUGAGGACUACCGAGUGGCAGUUCAGAUUGGUGGUGGGAACGACGAGGUGGCCAUGAAGCAUUUACCCCUCAUGCUGGAAGGUUCUGCCAGGGCAUGGUUAACUCAAUUACCGCCUAGCAGCAUUUACACUUGGGAAGAUUUGUCCCGAGUGUUCAUCAGAAUGUUUGAAGGAACUUGCAAGCGACCAGCUGGACUGACAGAGUUGCAAGUCUGCGUGCAGAAGACCAAUGAGACUCUCAGAGAGUAUAUUCAGAGAUGGAUCACUUUGCACCACACUGUGGAGAAUGUGUCUGAUCAUCAGGCAGUCUACGCCUUCAAAGAUGGCGUCAAGAACAGAGAUGCAACUGGUCGAGUGGCCAAAUGGGCGAUUGAACUUCUUCCCCUUGAUAUCAAGUUUGAGGCAAAGAAAGCCAUUAAGUCCGAGGCAAUAGAGAUUUCCUCGCCGAGUGGAUUGAACAACAGCAGCCGACUGAAGUUCACUCGGAGCAUUGGACCAUGUUCUUUGAUGGCUCUAAGAUGUUGAAUGGUUCCGGUGCUGGGGUUGUCCUGGUUUUCCCCAGAGAAGAUAAGCUCAGAUAUGUGCUCCAGAUUCACUUUGAUUCCUCCAACAAUGAGGCAGAAUAUGAGGCCCUCUUAUAUGGGUUGCGCAUGGCCAUUUCACUCGGCGUCCGUCGCCUGAUGGUCUAUGGCGACUCGGAUUUAGUGGUCAACCAGGUGAUGAAAGAGUGGGACGUGAGAAGCCCAGCCAUGACUGGAUACUGCAGUGCAGUGAGGAAGCUGGAAAAGAAGUUCGAGGGGUUGGAGCUCCAUCAUAUACCCCGACUGAAAAAUCAAGCAGCUGAUGAUCUAGCAAAGAUAGGUUCCAAGAGAGAAGCCAUUCCGAGUGGUGUGUUCUUGGAGCAUAUACACACUCCGUCAGUCAAAGAAGAUCCUUUCACCGAAGAAACUCCACAGCCCAAGAGUGCCACAGAUCCGACUGAGGUUGAAGUCCCAGCGGUGGUCGACUUGAUCAUGGAGGUCUUGGUGGUCAUUCCCGACUGGACAGUUCCAUACGUCGCGUAUAUCCUGAGAAAAGAGCUUCCGGAGGAUGAGGAAGAGGCUCGACAGAUCGUCCGUCGAUCUAAGGCCUUUACCGUAAUCAAAGGACAAUUGUACAGAGAAAGCGCGACUGGAGUUGGUCAGAAGUGCAUAACACCAGAAGAAGGUCGACUCAUCCUCAAUGAUAUCCACUCGGGAACCUGUGGUCAUCAUGCGUCCUCUCGGACCAUCGUGGCCAAAGCAUACCGAGCCGGAUUUUACUGGCCAAAGGCGAAUGAGAUGGCAAAAGAUAUAGUGGAUAAGUGCGUGGGAUGUCAGUUCUACUCGAAUAUGUCGCACAAGCCUGCGUCGGCUCUGAAGACCAUCCCACUCGUCUGGCCUUUCGCAGUAUGGGGACUGGACAUGGUCGGUCCUUUGAGAAUAGGACGAAGUGGCUUCACGCAUGUACUGGUGGCAGUCGACAAGUUCACCAAGUGGAUCGAGGCUAAACCAAUCAAGAACCUUGACACCGGUACUGCUGUUAGCUUCAUCAGGGAACUAAUAUUCAGAUAUGGAGUCCCGCACAGCAUCAUUACGGAUAAUGGGUCGAACUUUGACUCAGAGGAAUUCAGAGAUUUCUGCAACUCCCAAGGCACACGGGUCGACUACGCUUCAGUCGCCCAUCCGCAGUCGAAUGGACAAGCAGAGCGAGCUAAUGGACUGAUUCUUAAGGGAUUGAAGCCCCGACUGAUGCGUGAUCUCAAACACGCGGCUGGAGCUUGGGUCGACGAACUUCCCUCAGUGCUUUGGGGGCUGCGGACCACACCUAAUCGGUCGACCGGAAGAACUCCAUUCUUCUUGGUCUAUGGAGCUGAAGCAGUCUUGCCGAGUGAUCUUCUCCACAAUGCUCCUCGAGUUAAAAUCUACAACGAAGCAGAGGCUGAACAAGCGCGGCAGGACGCAGUCGACCUUUUAGAGGAAGAAAGGGAGAUGGCUCUGAUCCGGUCGACCAUCUACCAACAAGAUUUGCGUCGUUUCCAUGCCAGAAAUGUGAGAGGUCGAGCCUUCCAGGAAGGAGAUUUAGUUCUCCGAGUGGAUCAGCACAAACCACACAAGCUUGCUCCUUCUUGGGAAGGUCCCUUCAUCGUCACCAAGGUUCUCCACAACGGGGCGUACCGUCUUUACAACGUCGAGCAUAAUAUCGACGAGCCCCGAGCUUGGAACGCGGAACUACUCCGCCCAUUUUAUACUUAAGUUUUAUCACUCGGAUGAGUUGCAAUAAAGUACUUCUGUAGUUCAUGGACCUCAAAAUAAUAGUGUCAUAGUUCCUCCAUAAUUUCUGUCACUUUUUAUUUUUGUCCAAUAAAAUUCCCCCUCAGUGGGUGACUUAGCCGCGAAUCCGUUUCGCCUAAGUUUGUAAAAAUCCUACCGAGUGAUGAGCCAGACUCCCACUCGGAGGCUUAGCCGCGAAUCCGUUUCGCCUAAGUUUGUAAAAAUCCUACCAAGUGGUGAGCCAAACUCCCACUCGGAGGCUUAGCUGCGAAUCCGUUUCGCCUAAGUUAUCAAAAUCCUACCGAGCGGUAAGCCAGACUUCCACUCGGAGGCUUAGCUGUAGUCCAAGGACUCGCCUAAGUUAUAAAAAUCCUACCGAGUGAAGAGCAAACCUCUCACUCGGGGGCUUAGCUGCAGUCCAAGGACUCGCCUAAGUUAUAAAAAUCCUACCGAGUGAAGAGCAAACCUCUCACUCGGGGGCUUAGCUGCAGUCCAAGCACUCGCCUAAGUUACAAAAAUCCUACCGAGUGAAGAGCAACCCUCUCACUCGGGGGCUUAGCUGCAGUCCAAGCACUCGCCUAAGUUACAAAAAUCCUACCGAGUGAAGAGCAACCCUCUCACUCGGAGGCUUAGCNNNNNNNNNNNNNNNNNNNNNNNNNNNNNNNNNNNNNNNNNNNNNNNNNNNNNNNNNNNNNNNNNNNNNNNNNNNNNNNNNNNNNNNNNNNNNNNNNNNNNNNNNNNNNNNNNNNNNNNNNNNNNNNNNNNNNNNNNNNNNNNNNNNNNNNNNNNNNNNNNNNNNNNNNNNNNNNNNNNNNNNNNNNNNNNNNNNNNNNNNNNNNNNNNNNNNNNNNNNNNNNNNNNNNNNNNNNNNNNNNNNNNNNNNNNNNNNNNNNNNNNNNNNNNNNNNNNNNNNNNNNNNNNNNNNNNNNNNNNNNNNNNNNNNNNNNNNNNNNNNNNNNNNNNNNNNNNNNNNNNNNNNNNNNNNNNGAGUGAAGAGCAAACCUCUCACUCGGGGGCUUAGCUGCAGUCCAAGCACUCGCCUAAGUUACAAAAAUCCUACCGAGUGAAGAGCAACCCUCUCACUCGGGGGCUUAGCUGCAGUCCAAGCACUCGCCUAAGUUAUAAAAAUCCUACUGAGUGAAGAGCAAACCUCUCACUCGGGGGCUUAGCUGCAGUCCAAGCACUCGCCUAAGUUACAAAAAUCCUACCGAGUGAAGAGAAACCCUCUCACUCGGAGGCUUAGCUGCAGCCCAGUGCUAGCCUAAGUUAUCAAAAUCCUACCGAGUGGUAAGCCAGACUUUCACUCGGGGGCUUAGCUGCAGCCCUGUGCUCGCCUAAGUGGACUAAAGAAUAAGUCGAUUGCAGUAAAGGCGCCUUGCUUUGAACCUGCAAAAGACAUUUCGAGCCAAAAGCAAUCGUAUUCAAGCACCAAAUUCAAGUUUGAAUCGAUAUCUAAAAGAACCGAAAGUGCUCAGGCGUUAAGCCUGUUAAGGUUUAUCGGUUACAAUUUCACUCGGCAUACCGAGGCAAAUUUAAAGUGUCGAGCCAGAAGAAGUUUUUUACCCCUCCUGUGGGGGGCUGGAAGGUGCAACGAAUUCAUCAAGGUCAAUUCCGUCGGCGAUCCGAGUGGCAGCCGCAAGGAAAGUUUCCAUAAAGGACCUGAAGUCGUGUUUCUUGGUGUUGGCCACCCGAAGGGCCGCCAGCUUCUCUUCUCGCGCAUCUUUACAGUGGACUCGGGCCAGACACAGAGCAACAUCUGCACCACACCGAGCCGAGGACUUCUUCCAUUCUUGCACUCGACCAGGGAUCGUGUUCAAGCGGGCCAUCAGCGACUCAAGGUCAUUCUGAAGUGUCUCCUCAGGCCAGAGCGUCGAGUCGAUGCGAGAUGUGGCGGCCUUCAGCCUUGCGAGAUAGUCCACGACAGCUGCAACACGAGACUCCAGUCGGAAAACAUCCAUGGCAACUUCGUCGUUCACCGGAGAAUUGACGGGGUCGAGGUUUGGCUCCAGCCGGCUAGUUUCUUCUUCAAAGUUUUGACAAAAUUCUGCAAGGAUCAUCACUAAGUCAAGGGGAUGGUCGAAUGGAAAAACCACAAUUGGAAAUGUUUGCCGAGCAUAGAGGUUUACCUUCAAGCAUAAGAAACAGCUUCUUGGCAAGACCACUCAGGAAGGCCUCCAGAUCAUUUUUCUUCCCAGUCAACUUACUAACUUGGUCGGUCAGGGCAGCUUUAUUAGUUUUUAGUCGACUGACCUCCUUGUUGGCGAUCCCAAGAGCAGCUUUCAGAUUGGUAUUGUCUUGUUCAAGCUUGGUGACUGAAGCUAACUUCUCGUCAGCAAGCUUGAUCUUCUCAGCUAGUUUGAGGUCUUUCUUCUGUUGGGCCUCCCUUACCUUACCUGCAAGUUACAGCAAGAUCAGAUUUUAAAACAAGCAAGGGGAAAAGCAGUCGUCAGGGUCUCACCAAACAUACCUUCGGUCUCCUCCUUUGCCUUCGUCAGCUUCUCCUGAACCAGCUUCAAGCUCAGCUCAAGUUGAGUGUGCUUGUUUUCCAGCUCAGAGUAGCGAGCCACAAGAUCACAGGAGUUCUGCGAAGAACCAAUCGACUAAAUGUCAAAUAUAAUUCACUUCCGAGUGAAAAAGGAAAAAUCACACGUUUCUAAGACUACAGCCGAAUACAAGCAUUCGACCGUAGUCUCGGGGACUACACCCAGUGGGUGCACUCAGCGUGCCCCCACUAAUCCUGUUGAAGACAAAGUCGACCAGUCGACCUCAAAAAAAAAAAA